UAAGCAUCGCAGUCAACGCAGCGCAGCCAGCGCAGCGCGGCGCAUUCGACCGAUCUCAUUCGGAUGUAGACAACAAUCGAGCGCAGAAGGUAGCCAAUUGCCUCACGGGGCGAAUGUGUGGUUCAUUUACAAAGUGCAGUCCUCAAUCGAGUGUUAUCUCCGUGUCUGUCCAGGUCGAGUCCGAACACGAGUUCAAGUUCGAGUACAUGGUCAAAGUGUGAUAGUAAUACUUGAAAGUAUCGUUCCAUUAAAUAAUGUUCAAUACUAAUAUGCAUUUUUCGAUUUCAGAGGGAUUGCAGAUCUAAAUAGUCGGUUGGAUACAAGAUUCGUGGGCUGGCUUCUAUAAAUAAAGGCAAACAGCAUCUGAAUCAGCGCCAGAGGGCGAUUGGAUGAGUAAACUACCGUAACCGAUUAAUUUAAUUAAAAACCAUUUCUGCACCAUAAACAGAAUCAUUUAUUCAUGUUGGCUUGUCUAAUGACUAACACACAGACCCAAAUAAAACACACGUACACUAGUUGGUGUGCAUUUGUGUGUGUGUGUGUGUUUGAAUAGAUCUCUUGGGUAAAUCGGCUACUCAGAUCUUGUCUACAUGGUACAACAA